rnacentral:misc_RNA from 1 species
GAUGAAGAACGUAGUGAAAUGCGAUAAGUAGUGUGAAUUGCAGAAUUCAGUGAAUCAUCGAAUCUUUGAACGCACAUUGCGCCCUUUGGUAUUCCUUAGGGCAUGCCUGUUCGAGCGUCAUUUAAACCUUCAAGCUAAGCUUGGUGUUGGGUGACUGUCCGCUUCACGGCGGACUCGCCUCAAAAUUAUUGGCGGCCGGUACAUUGGCUUCGAGCGCAGCAGAAACGCGAACUCGGGCCCGUCGUAUUGGCUCCCAGAAGCUAUCUUCACAAUUUUGACCUCGGAUCAGGUAGGGAUACCCGCUGAACUUAAGCAUAUCAAUAGCGGAGGA